AUGCAUGCAAGUCGAGCGUGCCUGUGGCUUNGGCCACAAUAGGAAAGCGGCAGACGGNUGAGUAACGCGUGAGUAACUUGCCCUUUGGUGGGGUAUAGCCUCGAGAAAUUGAGGAUAAUCCCGCAUAAGAUCUUCAGGCCUUGGCUUGAAGAUGAAAGCCUUCGGGCGCCAGAGGAGAGGCUCGCGUCCUAUCAGGUAGUUGGUGGAGUAAAAGCCCACCAAGCCUAUGACGGGUAGAUGGUCUGAGAGGAUGACCAUCCAGAGGGGGACUGAGACACGGCCCCCACUCCUACGGGAGGCAGCAGCAGGGAAUCUUGGGCAAUGGGCGAAAGCCUGACCCAGCGACGUCGCGAGGGGGAUGAAGGCCUUUGGGCUGUAAACCCCUUUUCCAAGGGAAGAGAAAGGACGGUACCUGGGAAUAAGCCCCGGCUAACUAAGG
rnacentral:rRNA from 1 species